UCAUGUAGUUGGAUUGCAUGGUACUUUUAAAAGAAAUGUGUUUGAUGAACCUUUGAAUGAACUUUAUUACCAAAGGGUGCUUCGUCGCAAAGAAGUCAAGGUAUAAAUAUUCGCUAGCUUAUUCAAACAACACCUCUGGUUGAAGCAAUGAUAUGUUGCGUUUUUCUUUUUUUCUUCUUCUUUUCUAAUUUUGUAGAUUGUUGAACACACUUGCUCUAAGGAUUUUCUUGAGAUCGGUACGCCUUUGAGUAUUAUCGCUAAGGCUUAUAGAGGCGGAGAUGGGGCUCCCACAAUCCACGCACUACCCUCUCAGGUCUUCAAUGGAUAUACAUGCGUUGACAAAGAAGUUUACAACCUGGAAUCACAGUCAUCGGUUUAUGAAAGUCUCUCCUUUAUCUUAGCAACUACGGGUGUGUUGUUUCUCACCGUGCCACUCCUGUUCUUGAGAUUCCGCUAGAUAUCAACGAGUGAAAAGGUCACUGAGUUUGUCUCUGAUG